ACUUAGCCUAUACACUAUGUUGGAGAGAAGACGCUUGCUACCUAGGCAAAAUGUGAAAUUAGGUAUAAACAUCGUGGUUGUAAAACUUGAGGUGGGUUUUUAGUACGUAUGCGUGAUUACUUCGUAAUCAUGAAUCGUGCAUGCUAGUGGGGUUUGGCCUCCACUAGUAUCUUUGAAGAUUUUCCUUUCCUCAGCGAUC
rfam:Drosophila persimilis strain MSH-3 cont1.022496, whole genome shotgun sequence.